AUACUUUCCUGGCAGGGGAGAUACCAUGAUCAGGAAGGUGGUUCACCCAGGGUGAGGCCCAGCCAUUGCACUGCUGCUGUGCUGACCCCUGCCAAUUCCCCAAGUGUGGGAAUCUCCACUGCGUAAUUUGUGGUAGUGCGGGACUGCAUUCGUGCUCUCCCAUG
ensembl:snRNA U1 U1 spliceosomal RNA